GAUGAACGCUGGCGGCGUGCCUAAUACAUGCAAGUCGAGCGAACAGACGAGGAGCUUGCGCCUCGGACGUUAGCGGCGGGCGGGUGAGUAACACGUGUAUAACCUACCUAUAAGACGGGUAAAACUUCGAAAAACCGGAGCUAAUACCGGAUAACAUGUUGAACCACAGUGUGCAACGGUAAGAUACGGUUGUUCGGGCUGGUAUCGAUGCAUCCGCGUCGCAUGAGCUAGUUGGUAAGGUAACGGCUUACCAAGGCAACGAGGCGUAGCCGAACGGAGAGGGUGAUCGGCCACACUGGAGCUGAGCCACGGUCCAGACUCCUAAGGGAGGGCGCAGUAGGGAAUGUUACGCAAAGGGCGAAAGCCUGACGGAGCAACGCCGCGUGAGUGAAGAAGGUGUUCGGAUCGUAAAACUCUGUUAUUAGUGAAGAACAACUGUGUAAGUAACUAUGCACGUCUUGACGGUAACUAAUAAGAAAGCCACGGCUAACUACGUG
rnacentral:rRNA from 1 species